rnacentral:rRNA from 1 species
AGCAGCCGCGGUAAUUCCAGCUCCAAUAGCGUAUAUUAAAGUUGUUGCAGUUAAAAAGCUCGUAGUUGAACUUCAGGGUCUACCCAUUGGUCAGGCUUAAUUGUCUGCACUGGUGCGAUGGAUCUCUACCUUCUGAGGAACUUUCAUGCCAUUUAUUUGGUGUGAUGGGAAAUCAGGACUGUUACUUUGAAAAAAUUAGAGUGUUUAAAGCAGACUAUCGUCUGAAUACAUUAGCAUGGAAUAAUGAAAUAGGACGGACUGAUUCUAUUUCGUUGGUUUCUAGGAUCACCGUAAUGAUUAAUAGGGAUAGUUGGGGGCAUUAGUAUUCAAUUGUCAGAGGUGAAAUUCUUGGAUUUAUUGAAGACUAACUACUGCGAAAGCAUUUGCCAAGGAUGCUUUCAUUAAUCAAGAACGAAAGUUAGGGGAUCGAAGACGAUCAGAUACCGUCGUAGUCUUAAACCAUAAACUAUGCCGACUAGGGAUCGGACGAAGUUAAUUUUAUAAUGACG